GACGAACGCUGGCGGCGUGCUUAACACAUGCAAGUCGAACGGAAAGGCCCUGCUUUUGUGGGGUGCUCGAGUUGCGAACGGGUGAGUAACACGUGAGUAACCUGCCCUUGACUUUGGGAUAACUUCAGGAAACUGGGGCUAAUACCGGAUAGGAGCUCCUGCUGCAUGGUGGGGGUUGGAAAGUUUCGGCGGUUGGGGAUGGACUCGCGGCUUAUCAGCUUGUUGGUGGGGUAGUGGCUUACCAAGGCUUUGACGGGUAGCCGGCCUGAGAGGGUGACCGGCCACAUUGGGACUGAGAUACGGCCCAGACUCCUACGGGAGGCAGCAGUGGAGAAUAUUGCACAAUGGGCGGAAGCCUGAUGCAGCCACGCCGCGUGCGGGAUGACGGCCUUCGGGUUGUAAACCGCUUUCGCCUGUGACGAAGCGUGAGUGACGGUAAUGGGUAAAGAAGCACCGGCUAACUACGUG
rnacentral:rRNA from 1 species